UGAUCCUGGCUCAGGAUGAACGCUAGCGGUAUGCUUAACACAUGCAAGUCGUACGAGAGUUUUUAACUCAAGUGGCGGACGGGUGAGUAACACGUGAGAAUUUACCUUUAGGAGGGGGAUAACAAUUGGAAACGAUUGCUAAUACCCCAUAUGCUUUUUUAAGUGAAAUGGAUUUUUCCGCCUAAAGAAAAGCUCGCGGCUGAUUAGCUAGUUGGUAAGGUAAUGGCUUACCAAGGCGACGAUCAGUAUCUGGUUUGAGAGGACGAUCAGACACACUGGAACUGAGAUACGGUCCAGACUCCUACGGGAGGCAGCAGUGGGGAAUUUUCCGCAAUGGGCGAAAGCCUGACGGAGCAAUACCGCGUGAGGGAAGACAGCCUACUGGGUUGUAAACCUCUUUUUUCAGGGAGGAAAAAAAUGACGUGUACCUGAAGAAUAAGCAUCGGCUAACUCCGUGCCAGCAGCCGCGGUAAGACGGAGGAUGCAAGUGUUAUCCGGAAUUACUGGGCGUAAAGCGUCUGUAGGUUGUUUAAUAAGUCAACUGUUAAAUCUUGAGGCUUAACUUCAAAACAGCAGUCGAAACUAUUAGACUAGAGUAUAGUAGGGGUAAAGGGAAUUUCCAGUGGAGCGGUGAAAUGCGUAGAUAUUGGAAAGAACACCGAUGGCGAAAGCACUUUACUGGGCUAUUACUGACACUCAGAGACGAAAGCUAGGGUAGCAAAUGGGAUUAGAUACCCCAGUAGUCCUAGCUGUAAACAAUGGAUACUAGAUGUUGAACAGAUCGACCUGUGCAGUAUUAAAGCUAACGCGUUAAGUAUCCCGCC
rnacentral:rRNA from 1 species